CGGGACCUCAGGUCAGGCGGGGCUACCCGCUGAGUUUAAGCAUAUCAAUAAGCGGAGGA
rnacentral:rRNA from 4 species